GAUGAACGCUGGCGGCGUGCCUAAUACAUGCAAGUCGAGCGAACGGACGAGAAGCUUGCUUCUCUGAUGUUAGCAGCGGACGGGUGAGUAACACGUGGAUAACCUACCUAUAAGACUGGGAUAACUUCGGGAAACCGGAGCUAAUACCGGAUAAUAUUUUGAACCGCAUGGUUCAAAAGUGAAAGACGGUCUUGCUGUCACUUAUAGAUGGAUCCGCGCUGCAUUAGCUAGUUGGUAAGGUAACGGCUUACCAAGGCAACGAUGCAUAGCCGACCUGAGAGGGGUAUCGGCCAAAACUGAACCUGGACACGGGCCCAACCCCCAAGGGAGGGAAGCGGAGGGGAUUUUCCGCCAAGGGGCAAAAGCUGGCGGAACAAACGCGGCGUGGGGAUGAAGGGCUUUCGAACGGAAAAACCCUUUAAUUGGGAAAAACAUAUUUGUAAAGUAACGGUCAACACCUGGAGGGUCCUAAAUAAGAAACCCAGGCCUACCACCGU
rnacentral:rRNA from 1 species